UACAGGGGGGGCAAGCGUUGUUCGGAAUUACUGGGCGUAAAGGGCUCGUAGGUGGCCAUCUAAGUCAGACGUGAAAUCCCCCGGCUUAACCUGGGAACUGCGUCUGAUACUGGACGGCUUGAGUAUGGGAGAGGAACGUAGAAUUCCAGGUGUAGCGGUGAAAUGCGUAGAUAUCUGGAGGAAUACCGGUGGCGAAGGCGGCGUUCUGGACCAUUACUGACACUGAAUCGCGAAAGCUAGGGGAGCAAACGGG
rnacentral:rRNA from 1 species